CCUACGGGUGGCUGCAGUAGGGAAUAUUGCUCAAUGGGGGAAACCCUGAAGCAGCAACGCCGCGUGGAGGAUGAAGGUUUUCGGAUUGUAAACUCCUUUUGUUAGAGAAGAUAAUGACGGUACCUAACGAAUAAGCACCGGCUCACUCCGGGCCAGCAGCCGCGGUAAUACGGGGGGUGCAAGCGUUACUCGGAAUCACUGGGCGUAAAGAGCGCGUAGGCGGGAUAGCAAUUUAGAUGUGAAAUCCUAUGGGUUAACCAUAGAACUGCAUUUGAAACUGGUGUUCUAGAGUAUGGGAGAGGUAGGUGGAAUUCGUGGUGUAGGGGUAAAAUGCGUAGAGAUCAAGAAGAAUACUCAUUGCGAAGGCAGCCUGCUGGAGCAUAACUGACGCUGAUGCACGAAAGCGUGGGGAGCGAACAGGAUUAGAUACCCUGGUAGUC
rnacentral:rRNA from 1 species